rnacentral:rRNA from 1 species
CCUACGGGGUGCAGCAGUGAGGAAUAUUGGUCAAUGGACGAGAGUCUGAACCAGCCAAGUAGCGUGAAGGAUGACUGCCCUAUGGGUUGUAAACUUCUUUUAUAUGGGAAUAAAACGUUCCACGUGUGGGAUUUUGUAUGUACCAUAUGAAUAAGGAUCGGCUAACUCCGUGCCAGCAGCCGCGGUAAUACGGAGGAUCCGAGCGUUAUCCGGAUUUAUUGGGUUUAAAGGGAGCGUAGGUGGAUUGUUAAGUCAGUUGUGAAAGUUUGCGGCUCAACCGUAAAAUUGCAGUUGAAACUGGCAGUCUUGAGUACAGUAGAGGUGGGCAGAAUUCGUGGUGUAGCGGUGAAAUGCUUAGAUAUCACGAAGAACUCCGAUUGCGAAGGCAGUUCACUGGACUGCAACUGACACUGAGGCUCGAAAGUGUGGGUAUCAAACAGGAUUAGAUACCCGUGUAGUC